rnacentral:rRNA from 1 species
AUUGAACGCUGGCGGCGUGCCUAACACAUGCAAGUCGAACGAAGUAUGAGAGCUUGCUCUCAUUACUUAGUGGCGCACGGGUGAGUAACACGUGGAUGAUCUACCCAUUAGUUUGGAAUAACAGUUGGAAACGACUGCUAAUACCAGAUACGAUCCUUUUUCAACUUAGGGUGAAAGGCGGCCUCUGCCUGCAAGCUGUCGCUAAUGGAUGAGUCCGCGUCUCAUUAGGUAGUUGGUAGGGUAAUGGCCUACCAAGCCAACGAUGAGUAGCCGGCCUGAGAGGGGUAAUCGGCCACACUGGGACUGGAACACGGCCCAGACUCCUGCGGGAGGCAGCAGUGGGGAAUAUUGCGCAAUGGGCGAAAGCCUGACGCAGCGACGCCGCGUGAGGGAUGAAGGUUCUCGGAUCGUAAACCUCUGUCAGAAGGGAAGAAGUGCAUUGAGAGUAACUGCUCAAUGUUUGACGGUACCUUCAAAGGAAGCACC